AGUCAACACUCCCUGCUUCCUGACUGCGCAUGCCUCAAGCUCCUGCUGCUCACUAUGCCGGCCUUGUCAUGGUGGAUGGUACCUUUGAACCUCGAGGCAAAAUAACACUUCACCCCCUUACAUUGUAUUUGUUCAGAUAGUUUAUGGCAGCCACUGGAGAAGUAAAUAAUACAACACCUCAAAGAAUUGAAAACACACAUAGUGGCUGGCUUUUCAUCGUACAACUGAAAGAACAAGCUGGUCAGGAAAGUGAUCCCACCCUGCACUGAAGGAUGGAGUCAUCAACUCUGCAUAAACUAAACAUCUCCAAGUGAAUAUGGGUGAGCCAUGCCAAAAGCCCACAAUCUGCCCUCGUUGGUUUAAUAAAACAGGAAUGUUCUAACCACUGAAAUAAAAGAGUGAAGUCUCAC